rfam:Strongylocentrotus purpuratus Contig107677_fixed, whole genome shotgun sequence.
GGUCUGUUAGCUCAGUCGGUAGAGCGUCGUGCUGAUAACGCGAAGGUCGAGAGUUCGAGCCUCUCAUAGACCA